CCCUCUCUUACCUGAUACAGGAUGAGGUUAGGUACCCUCUCUUACCUGAUACAGGAUGAGGUUAGGUAUCCUCUCUUACCUGAUACAGGAUGAGGUUAGGUACCCUCUCUUACCUGAUACAGGAUGAGGUUAGGUACCCUCUCUUACCUGAUACAGGAUGAGGUUAGGUACCCUCUCUUACCUGAUACAGGAUGAGGUUAGGUACACUCUCUUACCUGAUACAGGAUGAGGUUAGGUACCCUCUCUUACCCAAUACAGGAUGAGGUUAGGUACACUCUCUUACCUGAUACAGGAUGAGGUUAGGUACCCUCUCUUACCUGAUACAGGAUGAGGUUAGGUAUCCUCUCUUACCUGAUACAGGAUGAGGUUAGGUAUCCUCUCUUACCUGAUACAGGAUGAGGUUAGGUACCCUCUCUUACCUGAUACAGGAUGAGGUUAGGUACCCUCUCUUACCUGAUACAGGAUGAGGUUAGGUACACUCUCUUACCUGAUACAGGAUGAGGUUAGGUACACUCUCUUACCUGAUACAGGAUGAGGUUAGGUACCCUCUCUUACCUGAUACAGGAUGAGGUUAGGUACCCUCUCUUACCCGAUACAGGAUGAGGUUAGGUACCCUCUCUUACCCGAUACAGGAUGAGGUUAGGUACCCUCUCUUACCUGAUACAGGAUGAGGUUAGGUACCCUCUCUUACCUGAUACAGGAUGAGGUUAGGUAUCCUCUCUUACCUGAUACAGGAUGAGGUUAGGUACCCUCUCUUACCUGAUACAGGAUGAGGUUAGGUACCCUCUCUUACCUGAUACAGGAUGAGGUUAGGUACCCUCUCUUACCUGAUACAGGAUGAGGUUAGGUACCCUCUCUUACCUGAUACAGGAUGAGGUUAGGUACACUCUCUUACCUGAUACAGGAUGAGGUUAGGUACCCUCUCUUACCCAAUACAGGAUGAGGUUAGGUACACUCUCUUACCUGAUACAGGAUGAGGUUAGGUACCCUCUCUUACCUGAUACAGGAUGAGGUUAGGUAUCCUCUCUUACCUGAUACAGGAUGAGGUUAGGUAUCCUCUCUUACCUGAUACAGGAUGAGGUUAGGUACCCUCUCUUACCUGAUACAGGAUGAGGUUAGGUACCCUCUCUUACCUGAUACAGGAUGAGGUUAGGUACACUCUCUUACCUGAUACAGGAUGAGGUUAGGUACACUCUCUUACCUGAUACAGGAUGAGGUUAGGUACCCUCUCUUACCUGAUACAGGAUGAGGUUAGGUACCCUCUCUUACCCGAUACAGGAUGA